GUGAGGAAUUUUCCGCAAUGGGCGAAAGCCUGACGGAGCAAUGCCGCGUGAAGGAUGAAGGCCUAUGGGUUGUAAACUUCUUUUCUCAGAAAAGAAUUAUGACGGUAUCUGAGGAAUAAGCAUCGGCUAACUCUGUGCCAGCAGCCGCGGUAAGACAGAGGAUGCAAGCGUUAUCCGGAAUGAUUGGGCGUAAAGCGUCUGUAGGUUGUUUAAAAAGUAUUCUGUCAAAGAUUAGGGCUUAACCCUAGAUAGGCAGAAUAAACUUUUAAGCUAGAGUUUGGUAGAGGCAGAGGGAAUUCCCGGUGGAGCGGUGAAAUGCGUAGAUAUCGGGAGGAACACCAAAGGCGAAGGCACUCUGCUGGGCCAAUACUAACACUGAGAGACGAAAGCGAGGGGAGCAAAUGGGAUUAGAUACUCGAGUAGUCC
rnacentral:rRNA from 1 species